GUGUCAGCCGCCGCGGUAAUACAGAGGUCUCAAGCGUUGUUCGGAUUCAUUGGGCGUAAAGGGUGCGUAGGUGGCGCGCUAAGUCGGGUGUGAAAUUUCGGAGCUUAACUCCGAAACUGCAUUUGAUACUGGCGUGCUUGAGGACUGGAGAGGAGACUGGAAUUCAUGGUGUAGCAGUGAAAUGCGUAGAGAUCAUGAGGAAGACCAGUGGCGAAGGCGGGUCUCUGGACAGUUCCUGACACUGAGGCACGAAGGCCAGGGGAGCAAACGGGAUUAGAAACCCCCGUAGUCC
rnacentral:rRNA from 1 species